rnacentral:ncRNA from 1 species
UCCUUAAAAUAGGACGACGUGUAUAAAUGUUAUACGCUCCCCCUUACAACGUGUGAGAGGGAGCGCUUUU